GACGAACGCUGGCGGCGUGCUUAACACAUGCAAGUCGAACGCUGAAGCCCAGCUUGCUGGGUGGAUGAGUGGCGAACGGGUGAGUAACACGUGAGUAACCUGCCCCCUUCUUUGGGAUAACGCCCGGAAACGGGUGCUAAUACUGGAUAUUCACUGGCCUUCGCAUGGGGGUUGGUGGAAAGGUUUUUUCUGGUGGGGGAUGGGCUCGCGGCCUAUCAGCUUGUUGGUGGGGUGAUGGCCUACCAAGGCUUUGACGGGUAGCCGGCCUGAGAGGGUGACCGGUCACAUUGGGACUGAGAUACGGCCCAGACUCCUACGGGAGGCAGCAGUGGGGAAUAUUGCACAAUGGGCGAAAGCCUGGUGCAGCGACGCCGCGUGAGGGAUGACGGCCUUCGGGUUGUAAACCUCUUUCGCUCAUGGUCAAGCCGCAGCUUUGGGUUGUGGUGAGGGUAGUGGGUAAAGAAGCGCCGGCUAACUACGUGCCAGCAGCCGCGGUAAUACGUAGGGCGCGAGCGUUGUCCGGAAUUAUUGGGCGUAAAGGGCUUGUAGGCGGUUGGUCGCGCCUGCCGUGAAAUCCUCUGGCUUAACUGGGGGCGUGCGGUGGGUACGGGCUGACUUGAGUGCGGUAGGGGAGACUGGAACUCCUGGUGUAGCGGUGGAAUGCGCAGAUAUCAGGAAGAACACCGGUGGCGAAGGCGGGUCUCUGGGCCGUUACUGACGCUGAGGAGCGAAAGCGUGGGGAGCGAACAGG
rnacentral:rRNA from 1 species